rnacentral:rRNA from 1 species
GCACCACAAGGGGUGAAGCCUGCGGUUCAAUUGGAGUCAACGCCAGAAAUCUUACCCGGAGAGACAGCAGAAUGAAGGUCAAGCUGAAGACUUUACCAGACAAGCUGAGAGGUGGUGCAUGGCCGUCGCCAGCUCGUGCCGUGAGAUGUCCUGUUAAGUCAGGUAACGAGCGAGAUCCUUGCCUCUAGUUGCCACCAUUAUUCUCAGGAGUAGUGGGGCGAAUUAGCGGGACCGCCGUAGUUAAUACGGAGGAAGGAAGGGGCCACGGCAGGUCAGUAUGCCCCGAAACUCUGGGGCCACACGCGGGCUGCAAUGGUAACGACAAUGUGUUCCGAAUCCGAAAGGAGGAGGUAAUCCUCAAACGUUACCACAGUUAUGACUGAGGGCUGCAACUCGCCCUCACGAAUAUGGAAUCCCUAGUAACUGCGUGUCAUUAUCGCGCGGUGAAUACGUCCCUGCUCCUUGCACACACCGCCCGUCGUUUCAUUGAAGUUUGCUUUUAGCGAGGUGACGUCUAAUUGGCGUUAUCGAACUUGAGGUAAGUGACAAGGGAA